UACGUAGGGUCCGAGCGUUGUCCGGAAUUACUGGGCGUAAAGAGCUCGUAGGUGGUUUGUCGCGUUUGUCCGUGAAAACUCACAGCUUAACUGUGGGCGUGCGGGCGAUACGGGCAGACUUGAGUACUGCAGGGGAGACUGGAAUUCCUGGUGUAGCGGUGAAAUGCGUAGAUAUCAGGAGGAACACCGGUGGUGUAGACGGCUCUCUGGACCGUAACUGACGCUGAGACACGAAAAGCGUGGGUAGCAAACAGG
rnacentral:rRNA from 1 species